GAAGUUGAUUUUCGCCGUUUCUUGCCUGAUUGCUUCACCGUUCGUUGCUAAUCGAAGACAUCGAGGUAUAGUUACUAUCCCUCACUUCUGAUCGUCAGAUCUGUCGACUUUUUCUAUGUUUUUCUGAGCUCAAAGUUUGGAGCUUUUUGUAAAACUGUCCAAAUAAGCUGAUUUUGGUGUCUAAACUUAAUGCCUACGUGCUCUAGAGCAUGAAUAUCCAGUUGUUUUCGACUGAAUCCUGUCGAAUCGUCGCAGAGGUCAAGUUUUCUGAAAAUACCCAUUUUCUGACAGAGGUUCCGCUUUUUGGAUCAAAAACUCUCGACUGAGCUUAGCUUCAUUAGGAUUAGUUGUUAUAAAUGUCGUUAGGAUCGAGCUCAUCAAAUUUGUUUUUCGAAAUUCUGAUUUUGAGUUUCCGAGCUAAAAAUAAUGACCAAAAUACCCCUGUGACAAUUUUCGACCCGAUAAUUUUUCUGAGAGUUUCCCUGGCGUAGAUAUCGCCUAAGAAUACCUAGGGAUUGAUUUAGAUCGAAGAAAAAGUUCGAAAACCCUAUUUUCCAUAGUGGCCGAAACCUAUUUGCUUGGGUACCGUGUCCAAAAAUAAUUUUUGGGUCUCUAUGACCUGAGCCAUUGCGUAGCUUUUUCAAUUGUGGAAAUUUUGGCGCCGGUUUCGUGUCAUUCCGAGUUCUGUAGCUCAAGUUAUGCACGUUUUAGCGAAUAAAGUGUUUUUGUACAAAACCUGAAUCGAGUCAAAACUCAUCCAUUCGGGGAAAGCCCUUCCUUUCGUGCCUAAAUGUUGUACUCUGAAGCUUCUUGAGCUUAGUCGAACAUUAGUUAGGAUUGUUUCGACUGUAUCGACUUGUGUUGAUUCAUUAUUGCUUUGUUUGCUCAAAGGUUCAAUUGUGGAAACCUUGGGAUUGACUGAACAAGCUUGUGAGGGAGACCUACACCGCGAGACUGGAACAACUCGAGGUUAGGGCAACUUACUUACUAGCUAUUUUCGUGUGUAGGCGUCGAUAAAUUCGACUUGAAUGUAUUGUGAUCAUGAGUGGCAACUCACCGUUAUUAGUUAAUGACCUAGAGUCGACUUGUUCGACUUAUUUGUUAAAUUCUGCACAAAUAUUGCAUGAACUGUUCUGAAAAAUGUUUUCUGGAGGCUUCGGCCGAGUGAACUUAUAUGAGACGUGUGUCUCCGUUUUCUGAGAGGCUUCGGUCGUUUACUGGUUUCUGUCUUAUCGCUUUCUAGUGGACAUGACAGGGUUAUGUUUUGCAGCACUGCAUUAAUGUUUCAUCGCUCAAUAGAGCUUGAUUUAUUUGUGUUUAAGAUUAAAUUGUGCUGACUGUAUUCGUGCAUUUAAUGCGACUUUCGGAGUGUGGAUUACACUUAUCUUCGUCAUGGCAAUGACGGGUUUGUUUUGGGAAUGUUUGAUAGGUCGAACCAAGGUUCGAGCCUUUAUUGUUUUAGGAAUCGAGACCUUCCCGGGGAAUUACUUGGGUUUAUUGGGAUCUUUUUACUUAUAGAGUUUUGAAACAAACGAAAUCAGAACUUGAUUUGUAAAUGAAAUUCAUAAUACACUAAUCAAAGAUAGAACACUUUUAAAUAAUGAUGAUAACCUCUUGGAAAAGACUUAGGAUGUGAAAAUGGUUUGGAAAACGGGAAGGGUCGACAAUCUAAGUGUGAGGAAAACUUUGAGUGCGAUAGCACCUUUUGUUCCUUUAGUGGUUUAUCUAGCCAUCCAAAGGAUGAGCCUGGGAUGAUUGGAAAGUCCCCAAGUGCGAGUGCACCAUCUUUGCUCAUUGAGCAGCCUUUCGGCCAUCGAGCUGAUGAGCCUGAGUAAAUUGAAAAGUCACUGAGUGCGAGCAGCAUUCUCCUUGUUCGUUGAACAGUCCAUUUGACCAUCGAGCUGGUGAGUCAAAGUAACUUGAAAAGUCACUGAAUGCCAGAUGCAUUCUUUUGCUCGUUGAGCAGUUUGUUUGGCCAUCGUGACGGUGAGCCCAAGUGACUAGUAAAGUUACCAAAUGCGAUUAGCACUUCUUUGUUUACCUUAGGGUAUUGUAGAGACAAUGUACUCUAGCUAGACACGCGUGCCUUGGUGAGGACGAUUCGUUGUUUGGCUAACCAUAUUGCAUUCAUGCAUACAUUUCUUGGAAAGUGUGCUGCUUUCCGAAGGACGAUAUCAGAUCGGACUUCAACGGUGCUAGAUGCCCCAAAUGGAGCUAGCUGCUUCACAAGAGCGUGCUGCUUCACAGGAGCGUGCUGCUUCAUAAAAGCGAGGUGCUUUAGCGAAGCGAGGUGCUUGGCUUGUCCCAUCCAUCGAGAUGGUGACAUUUUAUCCGGAUCAUGACAUUGCACUGGCACGCCAUGCACCUAACCAUACUUGUGGAUGUUAUUGUGAUUUGUUGUUGAUAAACAUCGUUAUAUAUAUCUUGAUGAUUUUAUGUUGAUAAACAUGCUAUGUAUCAACCUUAUGGUAGGCAAUACAUGACUUAUACGUAUAUAUACAACAUAUAUAUAUACCCCCUUUAUCACAUGUUGUUUGUAUUAUCUAUUUUAUUCCGUGAGUUGACCCUAGCGCCUUGGCUUUGUGUGUAUGUUUGUGUUUGGGCGGUCGGCCUGCUGCCAGGCGUCCGUCAGCCGGUUCAUGAUGAUUCGUUGUGCGGGAAAGACCCGGAGCGUAAUGACUAUUACUGAAGCUUUCGACGAGGACCCGGACUUCAGGCCUGAUCGAGGAAGGGUCGAUGAAAGUAGUGUGGGUUAUGG
rnacentral:lncRNA from 1 species